rnacentral:rRNA from 1 species
UGUUCGAAGAACGUAAAGUCUUCGGCAUUGCGUUAGUAGUCGGCAGUCGACGCAUUUCUCGAGGGCAAGCAUCGCAACCGAUACGAAAGGCUAGCGAGGUGAUCGGGUUGAGGUCUAGUUCUUUCGGGAACUAGUUUCCAGCCCUUUCGCACGAGUCGUUAGACCGCAGUAUGUAUCGAGCGUCUUAAAAACAUAUACGUCGGCUUAAAAGCUCGUCGAGCGAUGGAUAGACGAUUAAUCAGUUGGUUACUUGCUCGCAGGUGCCGACGAAUUUGGUUGUCUCAGAAGUCGCAGGCGACAUAGACGUAUUGGCGUUAGCGAUGUCAGUGUCGGCCGCCCGUCCGACCCGUCUUGAAACACGGACCAAGGAGUCUAACAUAUGCGCGAGCUAAUAGGUGUAAAACCUAUAGGCGCAAUAAAAGUAAACGCUGUUUCGGACAGCUAAGGUACGAUCCUAGAUUCGCUCUAGGCGCAGUACCGUCUCAUCCCUAAGGCAUGUCCUAAGGGUGAAGAUAGAGUGCAUACGUUGGGACCCGAAAGAUGGUGAACUAUGCCUGAGCAGAGCGAAGCCAGAGGAAACUCUGGUGGAGGUUCGUAGCGGUUCUGACGUGCAAAUCGAUCGUCAGACUUGGGUAUAGGGGCGAAAGACUAAUCGAACCAUCUAGUAGCUGUU